rnacentral:rRNA from 1 species
GUGUCAGCAGCCGCGGUAAGACGAACCGUGCAAACGUUAUUCGGAAUCACUGGGCUUAAAGGGCGCGUAGGCGGGUUCUCAAGUCAGGGGUGAAAUCCCACGGCUCAACCGUGGAAGUGCCUUUGAUACUGGGAAUCUUGAGGGAGGUAGGGGCGUGCGGAACUUCGGGUGGAGCGGUGAAAUGCGUAGAUAUCCGAAGGAACACCGGUGGCGAAAGCGGCGCGCUGGACCUCUGCUGACGCUGAGGCGCGAAAGCCAGGGGAGCAAACGGGAUUAGAAACCCGCGUAGUCC